GUGCCAGCAGCCGCGGUAAUACGUAGGUGGCAAGCGUUGUCCGGAUUUAUUGGGUUUAAAGGGUGCGUAGGCGGCCUAUUAAGUCAGUAGUGAAAUAUCACAGCUUAACUGUGAGGGUGCUAUUGAUACUGAUGGGCUUGAGUACAGAUGAGGUAGGCGGAAUUGACGGUGUAGCGGUGAAAUGCAUAGAUAUCGUCAAGAACACCGAUAGCGAAGGCAGCUUACUAAGUUGUAACUGACGCUGAUGCACGAAAGUGUGGGGAUCAAACAGGAUUAGAAACCCGAGUAGUCC
rnacentral:rRNA from 1 species